GCCAACAUGGAAAACACAACAGACGUCAGCUUGUCAAAUGAAGAUACAUUUAGCCGCCGGACAGCAGUUCAUUCGUCAACGGAUCGACUCGAAUCGAAUCGGUAUCGCUCCGGUCUGUCCGCUCCAUGAUUUGGCAACUUUUUUCUGUGCCUAUUGCCACUCUGCCCCGAAGGUCUACAAGUGUUGUAGCGUGUGUUAUGGGCUUCGAGAGAUGGUAGAUGAUAAAUGAGAAUUAUUGACAAGAUGUUUUGGAAGAGGGAAAUUGGAGAUUGACCAGAAAAGAGGUCUAGACUGAUGCGGAAAACCAACCGGAAUGAGCUUGAGUUUGUGGCAGAGGAUAAAC
rnacentral:lncRNA from 1 species